rnacentral:lncRNA from 1 species
GCUUUGGCUGGCUCCCCCACUCACAGCGGUCCGGACUUGCUGCUAGGAGGCUAUUCCAGGAGACCUGAUUUCAAUUCUCCAGCUGGUCCUGCUGGGUCUUGCUGGUCUCUUUGCCCCUUUCCUCAGGGACCGCUCAGGCAGCUCACGGGCGGGGAGCACCCAGGGCAGCCCCCAGCAGUUUGCCAGGACAGGCAGCAGCAAGCCGCAGUGCUGCAGCAGGAAUCCCCCGGCAGGCACUGGAAGGAGAGCUCCGUGUCGAGACAAGCCAACCGUCCCACAGGAUGCUGUGCUCUCCGCCAGGAAGGAGAAGCGGGGUGUGCCGGUGGUUCCCCGGGUUGGGAAGCGGCGGCCGCGCACACAGCACGGCACAGCGGAGUGGCGGGGGCUUCGCAGGGCUCAGCUGUGCUGAGGGCAGCAGCCGACAACAGCUGCCCCGCAAAGCGCACGGGGAUCUGCGGCUCUGCGGCUGAAUUCCGUUCGGCCUGGCUGCUGGGCAGAGGCACGGCGAAGCCCGAUUUAGCAGGGAAGGGAAGCGCUUGUAGGGAUGGAGGCUUCAAGACAGGUCGUGCCUUGGCUGCGAAUUGCGGGGGGGGCCCUCGGGGAGACCCGUCUCUGCGGGGACAGAGGUGUCGCAGCCUGUGCGGGGGCACACAGCACGCGUCGCAGCCCUGCGCCCCGGCUCGGCCCACAGCUCACCGAGCACCCCGCGCCCCAGGAGGCCCCCACGGGAGUUGGGGGGCUGAUGCCCGGGGCCAGAGCCCGCGGCACCGCCCGGCACCCCAGACGCGGUCCAACCCCGAGCGGCCGCAGGCAGCCCCCGAGCGGCCCGGCCCCGCCGCUCCUGCCCCCAGCCCCGCACGCGCCCCACGCCGCUCCGGGACCCCGCCCGGCUUAACCGGCCCCGGUACCUGCGCCCGGCCCGGGCUGGGCGCGCUGUCCCGGCGCGGCUCGGCUCGGCUCGGAACGGCACGGCUCCUAUCGGAACAGCACGGCGCGGCUCGGCACGGCUCCUAUCGGAACGGCUCGGUUCGGCUCGGCUCGGCACGGCUCCUAUCGGAACGGCUCGGUCCGGCUCGGCUCGGCUCGGCACGGCUCCUAUCGGAACGGCUCGGUCCGGCUCGGCUCGGCNNNNNNNNNNNNNNNNNNNNUCGGCUCGGCUCCUAUCGGAACGGCCCGGUUCGGCUCAGCUCAGCACGGCUCCUAUCGGAACGGCUCGGCGCGGCUCGGCUCGGCACGGCUCCUAUCGGAACAGCACGGCGCGGCUCAGCUCGGCACGACGCGGCUCGGCUCGGCACGGCACGGUUCAGCCCACCCCCGCCCCCCCGGGCCGCCGGUGACUCAGCGGGCGGGACCGGGAGGAGCCGAGCCGCACCGGGUGCCGCCGAGACCCUCUGGGACCCCCGGGGGGGUCGCGGUGCCCCCGGCCUUCGGGAGCGGCACCCGGUCGCUGGAGCCGGGCCGGGGGGUCCGGGGGGUGCGGGUGGCCUGGGGGACCCCGGCAGGGGCGGCCGGGAGCUGGGCUGCCUCCUUCCCAGCACCUUUCGGCUUCAGGCACGGCGCGGGGGCUGGCGGGUGUCCAGAGGAGGAAAGGAGUUGUUUGGCUGGCAGGCUGCACGCUUGGCUGCAAAAGGGAUUAAAAAAUAA